GACGAACGCUGGCGGCGUGCCUAAUACAUGCGAGUAGAACGCUGAAGAGAGGAGCUUGCUCUUCUUGGAUGAGUUGCGAACGGGUGAGUAACGCGUAGGUAACCUGCCUGGUAGCGGGGGAUAACUAUUGGAAACGAUAGCUAAUACCGCAUAAAAUGGAUUAUCGCAUGAUAAUCCAUUGAAAGGUGCAAAUGCAUCACUACCAGAUGGACCUGCGUUGUAUUAGCUAGUUGGUGGGGUAACGGCUCACCAAGGCGACGAUACAUAGCCGACCUGAGAGGGUGAUCGGCCACACUGGGACUGAGACACGGCCCAGACUCCUACGGGAGGCAGCAGUAGGGAAUCUUCGGCAAUGGACGGAAGUCUGACCGAGUAACGCCGCGUGAGUGAAGAAGGUUUUCGGAUCGUAAAGCUCUGUUGUAAGAGAAGAACGAGUGUGAGAGUGGAAAGUUCACACUGUGACGGUAUCUUACCAGAAAGGGACGGCUAACUACGUG
rnacentral:rRNA from 1 species